CCUUUUCGAAAAAGGGAAACUCCCGUUUUAUGCACCUGUGCAAAGAGUAAGUGUCGAUUGUUUGCUUAGUUAGUAAUUUUUUGUCGCGCAGUAAGGAGCUUAUCAAAGUUUUUAUAAAGAAAGUGAUUGUUAAAUAUAUAUUUCUACAAUGUCCCAAAGGAAGAGAAAACUAAGUAUUGAAUACACCAAAUUAUUAAUUCUGAUGCUAAGGAUAUUUUCGACGAAAGUGAAAGCGAUGAAGAUUUUGUACCUAUCGUAGAAAAUGAAACGGACGAUUCAAAUACUUCAUCCAGUGGAAGUGAAGUAGAUGUCGGUUUUGAAGGUAGCAAUGCGACAGAAGAAGUCAAUUUGGUAAAUAUUUUAUCGAAAGAUAAGAGCAUAAUAUGGCAUGAUCAGCCACUUCCAAUGUCAAGAGGCAAAAUUCCUCGAAAUCAAAUUUUAAAUUGUUUCAAAGUGUGCUAUUUCUAUGGUCACAGAUAUAAAAUCCUCUUUUGAUAUUUUCAUCCCCUCAAGUAUAAAAAAACAUAGUGGUAGAAAUGAGCAACAUCAAAGGAUUGCAGUUUUUUGGAGAUAAUUGGAAAAUUAUAGACCUUAUACAAUUGGAAGCAUACAUAGGAUUGCAAAUCUUAGCAGGAGUAUACAAAUCGCACAAUGAAUGUCUAAUUCAUUUGUGGGAUGAAAAUAAUGGCAGACCAAUUUUUCGGGCCACAAUGAGCUUGGAAAGACUAAUGAACAUGUCACGAUGCCUUCGUUUUGACUCCGCUGCAGACAGGGAUGAAAGAAGACAGCGUGAUAAAUUAGCACCUAUAAGAAACAUUUGGGAUCAAUGGAAUCGGCAGCUCAGGUCAUAUUAUCACUUACAUGAAAAUGUAAAUGGUCGUUGCAGCUUCAGGCAGUACAUUCGAUCGAAGCCCGCAAAAUACGGCUUAAAAAUAUGGGCUCUAAGAGAUUCAUAUGUGCUCUAUGUGAUUCAAAAAGCAAGCAAGGAAGUUUAUUUAGGACACAAGGAAAGGAAAUACACAACCGGAAAGGAACCAAGGGGAACGUGUUGUUCUAUCCCUAUCAGAACCCCUUCCCUGAGGUCACACUAUUACUUGCGAUAACUUUUUUACGACGUACAAUCUCGCCGUUCAGCUACUUCACAGGAACAUUGCUUUAGUCGGUACAGUGAAGAAAAAUAAGCUUUUUUUGCCACGAGAAAUUGUCGACAUGAAGAAAAAGAACAUUUUAGAAAGCAAAUGGUCGAACCAAAUAUUGUCCGCAGAGAGAGACUGCCACGAGGAAUCGCUGCUAAGAAUAUAGUAAAAAAUAUUCAAUCAUACAAAAAAUUCGAACAAAUAUUCAGCUGUUUGUAGUACGUGCCAAAAAUUUGUUUGCAAGGAGCACAGCAGCUUAGUUUGAGAAAAUUGCCGUUAAAACAUACAUAUCUCAACUGUUUUCUACAAAUAACAUACACUUAACUUGAUUCAAAUAAAAAAAUAUGAACUCUUUCA